rnacentral:rRNA from 1 species
ACGCUCGACACCUACGGGGGCAGCAGUGGGGAAUAUUGCACAAUGGGGGAAACCCUGAUGCAGCAACGUCGCGUGAAGGAAGACGGUUUUCGGAUUGUAAACUUCUAUCAAUAGGGAAGAAAGAAAUGACGGUACCUAAAUAAGAAGCCCCGGCUAACUACGUGCCAGAAGCCGCGGUAAUCUGAGCGGGCUGGCAAGGC